AUAUAAUAAGUCAUUCCUGCCCAGUGAUUUUUUUAACGGCCAUCUUUGAUGAUAACGUAGCAUAAUCAAUUGUCUAUUAAUUAUAGACUAGAAUGAACGGAUUAACGAAAGCCGAACUGUCUCCUAAAUUCCAUCAAUGAAAUUAACCUCUCUGUUCAAAGGCAGAGAUACUUUUAUAAGACGAAAAGACCCUAAAAGCUUCAAAUACUAAAAUUAACUUAUCUAUUAUAUCAAAUAAAGAAAAAUACUAAUUUUUAAAAUUUGGUUGGGGCAACCAUAGAUUAAAACUAUCAUCUAUAAUUAAAUUAGUCUACCACUAUAAUAUUAGGGAAACACCUCUAUUAAAUAAGACACUUAAUAUAAUGAUCCAGAAAUAACUGAUCAAUGAACAAGUUACUUUAGGGAUAACAGCGCUAUUUCUUUCAAAAGUUCCUAUCGACAAAGAAGCUUACGACCUCGAUGUUGGAUUAAGAUACCCAAGUGGUGCAAAAGCUACUAAAGGUUCGUUUGUUCAACGAAUAAUAUCUUACGUGAUCUGAG
rnacentral:rRNA from 1 species